rnacentral:rRNA from 1 species
CAGUCGCCGCGGUAAUACGUAGGGGGCAAGCGUUGUCCGGAAUCAUUGGGCGUAAAGCGCGUGUAGGCGGCUUGAUAAGUCCGUUCUGAAAGCCCAGGGCUCAACCCUGGGAGGCGGAUGGAUACUGUCAAGCUCGAGUCCGGAAGAGGCGAGUGGAAUUCCCGGUGUAGCGGUGAAAUGCGCAGAUAUCGGGAGGAACACCAAUGGCGAAGGCAGCUCGCUGGGACGUGACUGACGCUGAGACGCGAAAGCGUGGGGAGCAAACAGGAUUAGAUACCCCAGUAGUCCCUGUCUCUUAUAC